GGGCUUGUGGUUUAGUGGUAUAAUACUCCCUUAGCAUCUCAAGAUCGAGAGUGGGAGUGGUCCGGGGUUCGAUUCCCCGCGAGUCCA